UACAGAGGGUGCAAGCGUUGUUCGGAAUUAUUGGGCGUAAAGCGCGUGUAGGCGGCUUUGCAAGUCGGGUGUGAAAGCCCUCAGCUUAACUGAGGAAGUGCGCCCGAAACUGCAGAGCUUGAGUACCGGAGAGGAUGGUGGAAUUCCCGAAGUAGAGGUGAAACUCGUAGAUAUCGGGAGGAACACCGGUGGCGAAGGCGACCAUCUGGACGGAUACUGACGCUGAGACGCGAAAGCGUGGGUAGCAAACAGG
rnacentral:rRNA from 1 species